rnacentral:rRNA from 1 species
GAUGAACGCUGGCGGCGUGCCUAAUACAUGCAAGUCGAGCGAACGGAUGAGAAGCUUGCUCCUCUGAUGUUAGCGGCGGACGGGUGAGUACCACGUGGAUAACCUACCUAUAAGACUGGGAUACUUUUGGGAAACCGGAGCUAAUACCGGAUAAUAUUUUGAACUGCAUGGUUCCAAAGUGAAAUACGGUCUUGCUGUCACUUAUAGAUGGAUCCGCGCUGCUUUAGCUAGUUGGUAAGGUAACGGCUUACCAAGGCAACGAUGCAUAGCCGACCUCAGAGGGACGUCGACCAGAUGGGAUGUGAGGCUGGGCCGCGACACCGGCGGUAGGACGCAGUACGGAAUCUUACGCGAUGGACGAGAGCCUGAUGGAGCGACGCGGGGGAAAGGAUGAAGGACUUCGGAUGGGAAAACGCUGAUAGUAGGGAAGAACAAAUAUGUAUUUAACUGUGCAGAUCUUGACGGUACCUAGAGAGAAAGCCACGGCUAACUACGUG